rnacentral:rRNA from 1 species
AUUGAACGCUGGCGGCAGGCUUAACACAUGCAAGUCGAGCGGAGAGAGGUAGCUUGCUACUGAUCUUAGCGGCGGACGGGUGAGUAAUGCUUAGGAAUCUGCCUAUUAGUGGGGGACAACAUUUCGAAAGGAAUGCUAAUACCGCAUACGUCCUAUGGGAGAAAGCAGGGGAUCUUCGGACCUUGCGCUAAUAGAUGAGCCUAAGUCGGAUUAGCUAGUUGGUGGGGUAAAGGCCUACCAAGGCGACGAUCUGUAGCGGGUCAGAGAGGAUGAUCCGCCACACUGGGACUGAGACACGGCCCAGACUCCUACGGGAGGCAGCAGUGGGGAAUAUUGGACAAUGGGCGCAAGCCUGAUCCAGCCAUGCCGCGUGUGUGAAGAAGGCCUUAUGGUUGUAAAGCACUUUAAGCGAGGAGGAGGCUCUUUUGGUUAAUACCCAAGAUGAGUGGACGUUACUCGCAGAAUAAGCACCGGCUAACUCUGUGCCAGCCGCCGCCGUAACAC